rnacentral:rRNA from 1 species
UGGCGGACGGGGGAGUAAUGUCUGGGAAACUGCCCGAUGGAGGGGGGUAACUACUGGAAACGGUAGCUAAUACCGCAUAACGUCGCAAGACCAAGAGGGGACCUUCGGGCCUCUUGCCAUCGGAUGUGCCCAGAUGGGAUUAGCUAGUAGGUGGGGUAACGGCUCACCUAGGCGACGAUCCCUAGCUGGUCUGAGAGGAUGACCAGCCACACUGGAACUGAGACACGGUCCAG